rnacentral:rRNA from 1 species
CCUACGGGCGGCAGCAGUGGGGAAUAUUGCACAAUGGGCGCAAGCCUGAUGCAGCCAUGCCGCGUGUGUGAAGAAGGCCUUCGGGUUGUAAAGCACUUUCAGCGGGGAGGAAGGCGGUGAGGUUAAUAACCUCAUCGAUUGACGUUACCCGCAGAAGGAGCACCGGCUAACUCCGUGCCAGCAGCCGCGGUAAUACGGAGGGUGCAAGCGUUAAUCGGAAUUACUGGGCGUAAAGCGCACGCAGGCGGUCUGUCAAGUCGGAUGUGAAAUCCCCGGGCUCAACCUGGGAACUGCAUUCGAAACUGGCAGGCUAGAGUCUUGUAGAGGGGGGUAGAAUUCCAGGUGUAGCGGUGAAAUGCGUAGAGAUCUGGAGGAAUACCGGUGGCGAAGGCGGCCCCCUGGAUAAAGACUGACGCUCAGGUGCGAAAGCGUGGGGAGCAAACAGGAUUAGAUACCCUAGUAGUC